AGUGAACGCUGGCGGUAGGCCUAACACAUGCAAGUCGAACGGCAGCACAGUAAGAGCUUGCUCUUACGGGUGGCGAGUGGCGGACGGGUGAGGAAUACAUCGGAAUCUACUUUUUCGUGGGGGAUAACGUAGGGAAACUUACGCUAAUACCGCAUACGACCUACGGGUGAAAGCAGUGGAUCUUCGGACCUUGCGCGAUUGAAUGAGCCGAUGUCGGAUUAGCUAGUUGGCGGGGUAAAGGCCCACCAAGGCGACGAUCCGUAGCUGGUCUGAGAGGAUGAUCAGCCACACUGGAACUGAGACACGGUCCAGACUCCUACGGGAGGCAGCAGUGGGGAAUAUUGGGCAAUGGGCGCAAGCCUGAUCCAGCUAUACCGCGUGGGUGAAGAAGGCCUUCGGGUUGUAAAGCCCUUUUGUUGGGAAAGAAAAGCAGCAGGUUAAUACCCCGCUGUUCUGACGGUACCCAAAGAAUAAGCACCGGCUAACUUCGUG
rnacentral:rRNA from 1 species